GAGGCUGUUGCACUGUGCGUCUGAGUCACGUGACGGAACUGUUGAGCAGCUGGGUGUGCUGUGUCGGACAGUUAAUGGCGACGCACGCAAUUAAUUCAAGAAAAAUCACCGGUGGCUCGGUAGCGUGUUUGUAAAGAAUGCCUACCUGUACGCAGUUAUCAUCCAUCUGUAGCAGAGACAGCCGGGGGCAACCUAGUGAUGCCAAACCCCGACUCUCCCUCAGGCCUGUGAAGGGCAGCCAAAACAGAUUAAUCACCUCAACACAUCUGAGUCACUAAGACGCUGGUGUUUCUUCACUGCCCUCUCUCUGUCGUCCUGCUCCUCUUCAUCGGCACCGAGCCUCCUGCUUCUCAAAACCAGCGUUCUCCUCCAGCUAAAGCUUUUGAGGAAGCCCAAACGAGAGGGCUAAAUACACCGUUUUCCCCUAUCCUUCAUCCCUAAACUGCAUGUUGACCUUUGCACCACUGCCUCCAGGCUGUAUGCUUUAACCUUUCCGGUGAGAUAGAGGGGGCUCUUGCACAAG